rnacentral:snoRNA from 1 species
UAGAUGAUGAAUACCUUUUUAAUAUCAUAACUUUCGUUCUACUGAGUCGAAAAUGCGGAGAAAGAUUACUGA